UCGGGUAUUUACGAAUAACAUAGACGAAGAUGAAAAAAAUAUAAUUUUGACCCUCCCACAGAAUUCGUAAAAUUACAUUAAUAAUUAAUAGAUAUUUGAGAAUAUGAGGGAGUUUCAGUCUGAAUGAUAUACAGAGUGUCUCAACUAAAUGAGAUCAUCUAAAUAUCUACCUUAUUUGUGUUUAUAUGCUUAUAUGAAUGAUAUGAGAACUUCUGAGAACAAAGUUAAGCUAUUUCAAGAGGCACGUGUAACGAUGGAAAGAAUUUUUUCUCAAGGUUAUUUUUUCAAGAGAUUUCAAGGCCAUCGGUAUAUUUUUUAUUCUCUAUACAAAAGUAUUAAGAUCUUUAUGUCGGGAGAGAUAUAGAAUUCUAUUCAAAAACAUAUCGGUGACAUUGAAAUCUCCUGAAAAAAUGAUUUCGAGAAAAGAUUCUUUUGAGAGGAAAGGGGAUGAUUCUACGCGAAAAAAGAAGUCGAAAAUAUAGAAUAAAAUUUUUUUUUUUUUUUUUUUUUUUUUCAUUUUU